rnacentral:rRNA from 1 species
GAUGAACGCUGGCGGCGUGCUUAACACAUGCAAGUCGAACGGAAAGGCCCAAGCUUGCUUGGGUACUCGAGUGGCGAACGGGUGAGUAACACGUGGGUGAUCUGCCCUGCACUUCGGGAUAAGCCUGGGAAACUGGGUCUAAUACCGGAUAGGACCACUUCUUGGAUGUUGUGGUGGAAAGUUUUUUCGGUGUGGGAUGAGCUCGCGGCCUAUCAGCUUGUUGGUGGGGUAAUGGCCUACCAAGGCGUCGACGGGUAGCCGGCCUGAGAGGUUGUACGGCCACAUUGGGACUGAGAUACGGCCCAGACUCCUACGGGAGGCAGCAGUGGGGAAUAUUGCACAAUGGGCGCAAGCCUGAUGCAGCGACGCCGCGUGGGGGAUGACGGCCUUCGGGUUGUAAACUCCUUUCGCUAGGGACGAAGCGUUUUGUGACGGUACCUGGAGAAGAAGCACCGGCUAACUACGUG